GAAAUGCGAUAAGUAAUGUGAAUUGCAGAAUUCAGUGAAUCAUCGAAUCUUUGAACGCACAUUGCGCCCGCCAGUAUUCUGGCGGGCAUGCCUGUCCGAGCGUCAUUUCAACCAUCAAGCCUCCGGGCUUGUGUUGGGGACCUGCGGCUGCCCGCAGGCCCUGAAAACCAGUGGCGGGCUCGCUGUCACACCGAGCGUAGUAGCAAUCACCUCGCUCAGGGCGUGCUGCGGGUUCCGGCCGUUAAACAGCCUUACAAAACCCAAGGUUGACCUCGGAUCAGGUAGGAAGACCCGCUGAACUUAAGC
rnacentral:misc_RNA from 1 species